rnacentral:rRNA from 1 species
ACUCCUACGGGAGGCAGCAGUGGGAAGUAUUGCACAAUGGGAACCGGUAGCAUGCAGCCAUGCCGCGUGUGUGAAGAAGGCCUUCGGGUUGUAAAGCACUUUCAGUAGGGAGGAAGGUAGUGUAGUUAAUAGCUGCAUUAUUUGACGUUAGCGACAGAAGAAGCACCGGCUAACUCCGUGCCAGCAGCCGCGGUAAUACGGAGGGUGCGAGCGUUAAUCGGAAUUACUGGGCGUAAAGCGCAUGCAGGCGGCCUGUUAAGUCAGAUGUGAAAG